rnacentral:tRNA from 2 species
CGGGAUGUGGCGCAGCCAGGUAGCGCACCUGCUUUGGGAGCAGGGGGUCGGGAGUUCAAAUCUCCCCAUCCCGA